CUUCAUUAUCGCAUAAAUCUUUCGCCUUUUACUAAAGAUUUCCGUGGAG
rnacentral:snRNA from 1 species